CUUUAGGGGCUUUCUCGAUCUGCAACCGUUUUCCGAAUAGUGUUCUCGAAAUUGCUCUUUCCUACAAGUAGGCGCUGCAAAAAAUGCAAUUAGGCCGAUACGCCCCGAAGCGUCUUCCUGCCGAUGACGGAGAUCAAGUUGUGGCUGAGGUCCCUGGAACGACAGAAAAUAACAUUCAGAACCGUUUCGCUCCAAUCAGAUAAACUGGAGGGACGACAGGAGAUGAGCUGCGUCCCCGUCAAAUGAAAGAAUUGUUAAUUAGGCGGACUGAGAAGGAGCCAAAGCAAAUCAGACAAAGCCGAUUCCGCAGAGACACCCUACAGAGUGAUCGGACGUCAACCCUCGGACGGUGCGAAAUUGUCUGAAGGAACCCCGAACCAGCUUCAGAAGUUAACACUUCACCCGUUCAAUACG